rnacentral:rRNA from 1 species
GCGUCGUAGUCCGGAUUGGAGUCUGCAACUCGACUCCAUGAAGUCGGAAUCGCUAGUAAUCGUGGAUCAGAAUGCCACGGUGAAUACGUUCCCGGGCCUUGUACACACCGCCCGUCACACCAUGGGAGUGGGCUGCAAAAGAAGUAGGUAGUUUAACCUUCGGGGGGACGCUUACCACUUUGUGGUUCAUGACUGGGGUGAAGUCGUAACAAGGUAGCGCUAGGGGAACCUGGCGCUG